rnacentral:rRNA from 1 species
GCGCACGGGUGAGUAACGCGUAACAUCUGCCCUUCAGUCUGGGACAACUUUUCGAAAGGAGAGCUAAUACCGGAUAACAAUGCAUGACACAAGUUGUAUAUUUGAAAGCUUUAUGUGCUGAAGGAGGGGUCUGCGUCCCAUUAGCUAGUUGGUAAGGUAAAGGCUUACCAAGGCAACGAUGGGUAGCGGGUUUGAGAGGACGAUCCGCCACACUGGAACUGAGACACGGUCCAGACUCCUACGGGAGGCAGCAGCGGGGAAUAUUGCACAAUGGAGGCAACUCUGAUGCAGCAAUGUCGCGUGAGUGAAGAAGGCCCUUGGGUCGUAAAGCUCUUUUAUGGGGGAAGAUGAUGACGGUACCCCAAGAAUAAGCACCGGCUAACUAUGUGCCAGCAGCCGCGGUAAUACAUAGGGUGCGAGCGUUGUUCGGAAUUACUGGGCGUAAAGGGCGCGCAGGCGGAAUAGUAAGUCGGAGGUGAAAGCCCGGGGCUCAACCCCGGAGGGUCUUUCGAAACUACUAAUCUAGAGAGGGUCAGGGGCCGGCAGAAUUCCUGGUGUAGAGGUGAAAUUCGUAGAUAUCAGGAGGAAUACCGGUGGCGAAGGCGGCCGGCUGGGGCCACUCUGACGCUGAGGCGCGAAAGCGUGGGGAGCAAACAGGAUUAGAUACCCUGGUAGUCCAC